GUUGGAACAGUUGUUAGGUGAUGUCUCUCUAUCUGUGGUUUACGACGUUGGGACAACGGCACUCUGAAGCAGUAGCAGGACAUGACGCCUCUGUCAGGUGAGGAGCACAGAGGAGAGGAUGUUCUGUAGAACAGGAGAGGAGAGGAGAAGAGAGGAGAGGGGUGUUCUGUAGGACAGGAGAGGAGAUGAGAGGAGAGGGGUGUUUUGUAGGACAGGAGAGGAGAUGAGAGGAGAGGAGAGGGGUGUUCUGUAGGACAGGAGAGGAGAAGAGAGGACAGCAGAGGGGUGUUCUGGAGGAGAGGAGAGGAGCGGGGUGUUCUGUAGGACAGAAGAGGAGAAGAGAUGAGAUGAGAGGAGAGGGGUAUUCUGUAGGACAGGAGAGGAGAAGAGAUGAGCGGGGUGUUCUGUAGGACAGGAGAGGAGAAGAGAGGAGCGGGGUGUUCUGUAGGACAGAAGAGGAGAAGAGAUGAGAUGAGAGGAGAGGGGUAUUCUGUAGGACAGGAGAGGAGAAGAGAUGAGCGGGGUGUUCUGUAGGACAGGAGAGGAGAAGAGAUGAGAGGAGAGGAGAAGAGAGGAGCGGGGUGUUCUGUAGGACAGGAGAGGAGAAGAGAGGAGCGGGGUGUUCUGUAGGACAGGAGAGGAGAAGAGAGGAGAGGGGUGUUCUGUAGGACAGGAGAGGAGAAGAGAGGAGAGGAGAGGAGAAGAGAGGAGCGGGGUGUUCUGUAGGACAGGAGAGGAGAAGAGAGGAGAAGGGUGUUCUCUAGGACAGGAGAGGAGAAGAGAUGAGAGGAGAGGAGAAGAGAGGAGCGGGGUGUUCUGUAGGACAGGAGAGGAGAAGAGAGGAGCGGGGUGUUCUGUAGGACAGGAGAGGAGAGGAGAAGAGAGGAGAGGAGAAGAGAGGAGCGGGGCGUUCUGUAGGACAGGAGAGGAGAAGAGAGGAGAAGAUGUUCUGUAGGACAGGAGAGGAGAGGAGAAGAGAGGAGAGGAGAAGAGAGGAGCGGGGCGUUCUCUAGGAAAGGAGAGGGGUGUUCUGGGGGAAAACCAGUGUGUAAUCUGGCUUGCCUGAAGGCAUGCUUCUGUUUCCAUGAGGCUGAGAUUUGUGUCUUUGAUCUACAGGGGAGUGGCAGGACAGCGAGGACCAUGUCAGUUCCUGUUGGUUUGUCAUUGUCCUUUUAGAUUCUUGAAGGUUCUUAGAAUUCAUUCUAGGUUCUAAGAAUUUGUUGCAGAGAAGAGAUGAGGUAGGAUUUAAGGUAGAAUUUUAAGCAUAGUGUUUUCAGUGGAGCCUGCUCUGCAUAGACUCAGUCUAGAAAAGUGGAGUGACUGCCAGCAUGGCCUUCUUCCUAAGACCAGCCUGUGUGUGCCGGUACUUUGACACAAACACACACACUACGAGUGGAGACGAGGACGAUUCUCGGAUGUGGACGAGACAGUGAAUCGCAGAAAAGGUAAGGGAAAAGAGGACGUUUCUGAACUCAGACAUCAUCACAACUCCAACAGCCGCUUUCUCUACCUUCUCUUCGUUUUAUUAUCUUUCGUCCUUUUUCUCCACCAUCUCUUUCUCCCUACUCUCUCCUCCUCCUCCUCCCCACUCUCACCCAUCUCUUCUCUUUUCCCCCUCUCUUUCCCUCCUUCCCUCUCUUUCUCUCGUUUUCCCUCUCGUCCUAAAGCAGCACACCUUGCUGUGGCUGGUCAAACGGAACCAAGUCAGGUGUUUCAGUGAGGUUUGGUCCCCUUCAACCAGCUACUGCGUCGUGAACUCAGUCAGCAGACAGACAGACACCCGCAGCGGGAACGAAAGACAGAGUAGCCCUACUGCUGCAUGUUUUGUAUCUACACACGUCAGGUGUUAAUGUGUUUUGUAUCUACACACGUCAGGUGUUAAUGUGUUUUGUGUCUACACACGUCAGGUGUUAAUGUGUUUUGUAUCUACACACGUCAGGUGUUAAUGUGUUUUGUGUCUACACACGUCAGGUGUUAAUGUGUUUUGUAUCUACACACGUCAGGUGUUAAUGUGUUUUGUAUCUACACACGUCAGGUGUUAAUGUGUUUUGUAUCUACACACGUCAGGUGUUAAUGUGUUUUGUAUCUACACACGUCAGGUGUUAAUGUGUUUUGUAUCUACACACGUCAGGUGUUAAUGUGUUUUGUGUCUACAUAAAUCAAGUGUUAAAGUGUUUUUGUGUCUACAUAAGCCAGGUGUUAAUGUGCUUUGUGUCUACAUAAAUCAGGUGUUAAUGUGUUUUGUGUCUACAUAAAUCAGGUGUUAAAGUGUUUUGUGUCUACAUAAAUCAGGUGUUAAAGUGUUUUGUGUCUACAUAAAUCAGGUGUUAAUGUGUUUUGUGUCUACAUAAAUCAGGUGUUAAAGUGUUUUGUGUCUACAUAAAUCAGGUGUUAAUGUGUUUUUGUGUCUACAUAAAUCAGGUGUUAAUGUGUUUUUGUGUCUACAUAAAGUCAGAUGUUAAUGAACAACAUUUUGUAAUCUAUGGAUUCCUUUUCCUUUUCAUACUGUAUGUUUCGGUCUUGUUUAUUGUUAUGCUUGAAAAAGAAAGAAUUAAAGAUGUGAUUGUGCUUUUAUCUCUGAUGUUUGGGAUUAAGUUGUUGUGUUGUGACAAUAAAAUCUGGAAAUAUGA